CCGCCAGCGGGUUCUUGGCGGCCACGCUGUUCGCUCGACGAAAGAAUAAAAAUAAUACGAAGACCAAAUACAACGACGUAUUUGCCUUAUGGCAAAGAAGCCGGCAGCAGUUGGUGGCGCGAUGGAGGCUGCGUGGCUGUAUGAGCACACACCAGGUAUGCAGAUGCAGAACAAAGUAGAGCUCUCACAAUUUUUUAUCCGAGGUGUAUUUUUUUUUGGUACGAUCUUGAUUUCUGGAUGGCACCACUUCGCAGGCAGCAGGCUCUAGCCGCGGCAGCAGGAAAACGGACAGCAACAUCCUGUCAUACAUGCAGGAUUCUGCAUUUGGAUAAAAGGAGUCCGGUAGAUGUCAACAAAGGAGUGAAAUAAGCAUCUGUACUUUCCUUAUUUUUGUGCAAAUGAAAGGCUUGCGGAGACUAUAUUUCCGUGGCCUAAUGGAACGGAAUCUGAUAAAUCGAUCUUGGUUACCAAUCUGUCCUAUGUAAUUAAUAAAGGACAUGGCAUUGGCAGGAGCUAGCCUACGCACAGUGUGCACGGUGAGAAAAUCCCUCUGUUUCUCAGCGACCAAAUAUUUCUUCUUUUGCUACUGAGUGAAUCAUCAGUUUUGUUUUGUUAUGGCUACAAGCACUCCUGGCAUCAGAAGAUGGCUAUAUUGGCGAAAAAGACUGGUGGUCUGUGUUUCACUUUUGGACAUCUAUGUGAGCAGCUUCCUCCUGCUUUCAUUUAUCAGCUCACAACACAUGGUUGGUGUUCUUAUGAUUACUCAAGUUACAGCGAUGUAUUACAUUAGGAUCAAAUAGCUAAAGUUUAAAUACUCAUAGGUGGACAUUGCUGUCAAUUUUUAAGCUUUCACUGCAAACGUGAUAAAAUUCAUAUUGUACCCACUAUGAUUCCCCUGACUCAUAUUCAUAUUUCUAAUUUCAUGGAUAAAAGUAGGCAUGACAUAAUAUGUCUUGUUCAUUGUAACAUUUUUUAGGUAGGCAUUUAUUCUUUUAGAUAGUUGUUGUAUUUUAGGAGGGUGUGGGAUACUUUCCCCCAUUUAACUAGCUUACAGAAUAAUUUUUUUUUUAUGUCUCAACGAAUCCGGAAAGAUUGCCUCAGUUCGGAUUGUUCUCUGCAACUCGGGAACAUGAAGUUGAAAUCGCUAGUAAUCGCGGAUCAGCAUGCCGCGGUGAAUAUGUACCCGGGCCCUGUACACACCGCCCGUCACACCCUGGGAAUUGGUUUCGCCCGAAGCAUCGGACCAAUGAUCACCCAUGACUUCUGUGUACCACUAGUGCCACAAAGGCCUUUGGUGGUCUUAUUGGCGCAUACCACGGUGGGGUCUUCGACUGGGGUGAAGUCGUAACAAGGUAGCCGUAGGGGAACCUGUGGCUGGAUUGAAU
rnacentral:ncRNA from 1 species